GGUCAAUGCACUCUGUGGUGGCACAGAGAUAUGCAAUUUUAUCACCUUGUAUAAAAUGUAUGAUCCUGCUAGAAAGAGAUUAUCAAUUGCAAUAAUGUAAUCUCUUUUUUGUUAUAAACAGAUAUCUUGUGAUUAUUUUGACAAUUCCUGUCUCAAAAUCUAUGCAUGCAUAAAUUAUUUACUUUUCAUUAUGUAUAUCUUGAUUCAUACCUUG
rnacentral:misc_RNA from 1 species